UCGAGAAUCUUCCGCAAUGGGCGAAAGCCUGACGGAGCGACACCGCGUGAUGGAUGAAGACCCUCUGGGUCGUAAACAUCUUUUAUGAGGGAGAAAGUUUAUUGAUAGUACCUCACGAAUAAGGGGUUGCUAAACUCGUGCCAGCAGCAGCGGUAAUACGAGUGCCCCGAGCGUUAUCCGGAAUCAUUGGGCGUAAAGGGUGUGUAGGUGGUCAUGUUAGUCAGUUGUUAAAACCCGGGGCUUAACCCCGGAAGUGCGACUGAAACGGCAUAACUAGAGGAUGGCAGGGAUGUAUGGAACUCAUGGAGUAGGGGUGAAAUCCGUUGAUAUCAUGGGGAACACCAAAAGCGAAGGCAGUACAUUGGGCCACUCCUGACACUGAAACACGAAAGCGUGGGUAGCGAAUGGGAUUAGAUACCCAUGUAGUCCCUGAGCGGGCUGGCAAGGCGCAU
rnacentral:rRNA from 1 species